AUUGAACGCUGGCGGCAGGCCUAACACAUGCAAGUCGAACGGUAACAGGAAGACGCUUGCUUCUUUCCUGCCGAGUGGCGGACGGGUGAGUAAUGCCUGGGAAACUGCCUGAUGGAGGGGGAUAACUACUGGAAACGGAAGCUAAUACCGCAUAACUUCGCAAGCCCAAAGAGGGGGACCUUCGGGCCCCUUGCCAUCGGAUGUGCCCAGAUGGGAUUAGCUAGUAGGUGGGGUAACGGCUCACCUAGGCGACGAUCCCUAGCUGGUCUGAGAGGAUGACCAGCCACACUGGAACUGAGACACGGUCCAGACUCCUACGGGAGGCAGCAGUGGGGAAUAUUGCACAAUGGGCGCAAGCCUGAUGCAGCCAUGCCGCGUGUAUGAAGAAGGCCUUCGGGUUGUAAAGUACUUUCAGCGGGGAGGAAGGGAGUAAAGUUAAUACCUUUGCUCAUUGACGUUACCCGCAGAAGAAGCACCGGCUAACUCCGUG
rnacentral:rRNA from 1 species